UGCGUAGGCGGAUCAAUAAGUCAGUGGUGAAAUCUCUCGGCUCAACCGGGAAACUGCCAUUGAUACUGUUAGUCUUGAGUUCGGUUGAGGUAGGCGGAAUGUGUAAUGUAGCGGUGAAAUGCUUAGAUAUUACACAGAACACCAAUUGCGUAGGCAGCUUACUAGACCGACACUGACGCUGAGGCACGAAAGCGUGGGUAGCGAACAGGAUUAGAUACCCUGGUAGUCC
rnacentral:rRNA from 1 species